AUUAUAACUUCAAAAUCUAGAAUUGUCUCUUAUUAAUGAUUCGGAAAUAGAAAAAACUUGGUUAUGUUAUUAUUCUUCGUUGGUUCGUUUAAUGGAAAACACUUUGCUACAAGAAAUAAUGGAAAUUUUAUAACGAAUUUAAUAAUGUUUUUAUAAUUAUAUAUAAAGAAUUAAUUGCAAGAAAAAGUUAUAUACAACCUUAACUCAUAUGGGACUACCUCCUGAAUUUAUUCAUAUUAAUUAGGGGAGGAAAAGAAACUAACAAGGAUUUUCUUAGUAGCGGCGAGCCAAAAAAGAAAACAGUUUAGCACUAAGUCACUUUGUCUAUAUGGCAAAUGUGAGAUGCAGUGUAUUUAGCGUCAAUAUUCUAGUAUGAGAAAUUAACGAUUUAAUGAGGCCAUUUACCCAUAGAGGGUGCCAGGCCCGUAUAACGUUAAUGAUUACUAGAUGAUGUUUCCAAAGAGUCGUGUUGCUUGAUAGUGCAGCACUAAGUGGGUGGUAAACUCCAUCUAAAACUAAAUAUAACAAUGAGACCGAUAGUAAACAAGUACCGUGAGGGAAAGUUGAAAAGAACUCUGAAUAGAGAGUUAAACAGUACGUGAAACUGCUUAGAGGUAAACCCCGAUGAACAUGAAUAUCCGUUAUGGAAAAUUCAUCAUUAAAAUUGUAAUAUUUAUAUAAUAUUAUGAGGAUAGUGUGCAUUUUUUCCAUAUAAGUACAUUGUAAUCUAUUAGCAUAUACAAAAUGUAUCAUAAAAUAUAACUUAUAGUUAUAAUUUUAUAAUGGCAUAAUUAUCAUUGAUUUUUGUGUUUAUUAUAUGCCCUUGUAUGAUUAACAAUGCGAAAGAUUCAGGAUACCUUCGGGACCCGUCUUGAAACACGGACCAAGGAGUCUAACAUAUGUUCAAGUUAUUGGGAUAUAAACCUAAUAGCGUAACUUGACUAAUAAUGGGAUUAGUUUUUUAACUAUUUAUAGGUAAUUAAUACAAUUAUGUAUAAUGUAUAUUUAUAUUAUUUAUGCCUCUAACUGGAACGUACCUUGAGCAUAUAUGCUGUGACCCGAAAGAUGAUGAACUAUACUUGAUCAGGUUGAAGUCAGGGGAAACUCUGAUGGAAGACCGAAACAGUUCUUGCAAAUCGAUUGUCAGAAUUGAGUAUAGGGGCGAAAGACCAAUCGAACCAUCUAGUAGCUGGUUCCCUCCGAAGCUUCCCUCAGGAUAGCUGGUGCAUUUUAAUAUUAUAUAAAAUAAUCUUAUCUGGUAAAGCGAAUGAUUAGAGGCCUUAGGGUCGAAACGAUCUUAACCUAUUCCCAAAUUAACAACUCAUGCAGAUACCAUGAAAGCGUUGGUUGCUUAAAACAGCAGGACGGUGAUCAUGGCAGUCGAAAUCCGCUAAGGAGUGUGUAACAACUCACCUGCCGAAGCAACUAGCCCUUAAAAUGGAUGGCGCUUAAAUUGUAUACCUAUACAUUACCGCUAAACUAGAUGAUUUAUAUUACUUGUGAUAUAAAUUUUAAAACUUUAGUGAGUGGAAAGGUACAAUGACGCGCAUGAAUGUAUUAACGAGAUUCCUACUGUUCCUAUAUACUCACUGUCAGUGACGGAAAAUAAGCUUGUGGCAGAGCUUUUUCGCCGGCCGAAGAGCAGUAAUCCGAAGCAGUUCCGGAGCAGUCAAUGUGCCGGUAACUAGAGGUUGC
rnacentral:rRNA from 1 species